UUGGUUUCCAAGCAUCACUUUUCCAUCUGCUGUAGGUAAUAAUUGUAUCAUUAAUACUAGAGAGCAAACAAGAAUGUCAACAGUCUAUUCCAUCUAUCAGUAUAGUGUCUUCAUGUCCAAAAGAUAGAACUGAGUGGAUAAGAGCUAAGGAGAGAAAGCGGUGUGACCUUAUUGCUCAAAACUGUUCAAAACCGGAUAAGUUUGAAUACCAUUGUGUCGGAAGUAAACAUCUAGAUCAGUUGAUAGAGGUCUGCAGUCCUGUCAAGCUUAUUGUUGGUCGAUAUUGCGCAUUUUAUGACUUGCAGAAAAACAAAAUCGGGCAAAAUUAUAACCAGC